UAAAACUUUUCAUAUCGAAUUGUUUGGAGAAUAAAGCUUUCUAGAAUAAAGUUGUCUUGAAGAUAGGAUACUUCUUUUCGGAUCGAAUGACUUAGCGUGUAACAACUCUAAAAGAUGACGAAAAUAGUUUCUUGAGCUAAAUUCCAUUCUAAGUUGGAACUCUACUUCAACCAAGACUAGUCCUAUAAAUUGAAGACAACAAUUUUCAUGAGAGGGACAAACAACAAUACAUACAAUUUGGGGGAAUAGAUGAUGAAACAUAGCCAACAACCAUUCAGUGAUUCUAGUAAUUUAGCAAACCUAAUUUGUAGCCAUAGUCAGAUAGAGCUUUCAUCAAGAACAUAAGUCCCGACUUAUACAUACACAAAAUUAACAUCCAAAACACAACCCUAAUCCUCCGCAAUUAAAUUUCAACAAUUACAAAAACCAGAGGAAUCAUAGAAGUCCACAAUCACACCACAAAAAAAAAAAAAAAAGCACCACAACUACAGAGAAUCACAAUUCAACUGAGAAUCAGAAGCAUUCAAAGGAAAAAGAGACUCAUAGUGAAGCUUUGAGGUUUACGAGCUAAGGAAUUAUUCUUUGGGUGUUUGGGGACUAGUGAAUUGAAUAAAGGGGCUUUGAUACGUAAGACAGCAGAAUCGGUGGCGGUGAAAGGAUUUUGGGUUGGCCAUUUUUUAGUGUUUUACAAGAAGAACAGAGACAGCGCAUGCACAUAGUAGGAGCCUAAAGCUUUAGAAGUGGCGGAAGCAAUUUUUUUGGAGGUUGGAGCUGCAAACUAAACUUGCAGAUCUAGGUCAUUUUGGGUACCUUCGAAGGAAACUAAUUUGAAAAAAAAGGCAAAGAGGGUGUUAACAGGAACUUGAGGGUAAAAUUUGGGGACCAACCAACAUCGACGAAAAAAGACAGCGGUGACUUUGGUGACUGACCAAAUACUGGGUUUGCCACCGGAGUUUAUUUUAAAGAGAGAAAGAGAGAAAAGGGGGGAACCCUUACACUAAGAUUAAACUUUUUGAUCUUAUUAACAGUUAGAUAAGAAUUAAUAUAAAUUCUUAAUUAUUUUUAAUUAUAAAAAUAAUUAACUAUCUAUUAACUUGAUAAUUUAAUUUUAAUUAAUUAACAUUAAAUAUUAUUUAUUAAAUAAAAUAAAAAAAUUUUAACAGGUAAAUACAAAUUAUUUAAAAUUCUUAAAAAAAGACAAGAUAAUAUAAUAUUUUAAAAAAUUUAAUUAAAAAUUGAUUAACGUAAAAAUAUGAGAAUUAUCGUAAAAUUAAUAUUAUUUGACAUAAAAUGUAUUAGA
rnacentral:lncRNA from 1 species